rnacentral:rRNA from 1 species
GACGAACGCUGGCGGCGUGCUUAACACAUGCAAGUCGAACUGAAAGGCCCUGCUUUUGUGGGGUGCUCGAGUGGCGAACGGGUGAGUAACACGUGAGUAACCUGCCCUUGACUUUGGGAUAACUUCAGGAAACUGGGGCUAAUACCGGAUAGGAGCUCCUGCUGCAUGGUUGGGGUUGGAAAGUUUCGGCGGUUGGGGAUGGACUCGCGGCUUAUCAGCUUGUUGGUGGGGUAGUGGCUUACCAAGGCUUUGAAGGGUAGCCGGCCUGAGAGGGUGACCGGCCAAAUUGGGACUGAGAUACGGCCCAGACUCCUAAGGGAGGCAGCAGGGGGGAAUAUUGCACAAUGGGCGGAAGACUGAUGCAGCAAAGCCGCGUGCGGGAUGACGGCCUUCGGGUUGUAAACCGCUUUCGCCUGUGACGAAGAGUGAGUGACGGUAAUGGGUAAAGAAGCACCGGCUAACUACGUG